UUGAGCCUUUGUACCCUCCAUGAAGAACACGUGGUUGAUAGGCCGGACGUGGAAGCCGUGCAAGCGGUGGAGCUGACCGGUACUAACAGGGAACAGCAACCAACUAU
rnacentral:ncRNA from 1 species